CAUAAACAUAGAAGUAUAAAAGAGUAAUUAUUAUGGAAAGUGAGACAUUGGGUACCAAUAGAUAAUUAAUAUUAAAAUAUGGCUAAAUAUUUGUUUUGUUAUGUUCCUUUUUAACUCAUAAGGGAGGAUGUCUAUGUGGGUAUGCUCAUCAUGGUGCUAUUGUGCACAGGUCAGAGGACAACUACAAGCAGUUAGAUACCUCCUUGAAAAAUGGAACCCCCAAAUCAACUCAUGUUUUCCACCUAGACAAGUGUUUAGCCCUUCAAGAGGACCAGUAUUUGUUUUGUAGACUGUGAUGAUUCCAUUGAAUACUCAGUCAUGCAAGGAAGGGGAAAUUGACAGAUGAGUUCAAUAAACAGCAUUGUGCUGAUCUGGCUGAGUCUCCAAACAGAGACAGAAGGAAGCACAAAUGAACCAGUCAUCUGUGACCUUCUAAUGCGGAGAAUAUCACUGAAGAUAAUUUUGACAAGAGAAAUGAG
ensembl:lncRNA LOC120102503 uncharacterized LOC120102503